UCUGUUUUCUCCUUUUACGGUUUGUGAUUUACAGUAAUUUAUUUAUAACCUACUUGUUUUUGACUUCACGUAUCUAUCAAUUAUCAGGUAAUCAACCGGAAAAGUUGCUUGAAAGCAGAAUUAGUUAUUAAACGACCUGUUAUCCUUUUCCUAUUUCGAUUAAUGACAAAAACUAAAAUCAUGCUGAGGGCAAAUAUCGAAAAGGAUAACUAUGAUAGAAUUAAUAAACUUCUUCAAGGAGCAGCAACUCCAGCAGUUAAACAAAAGUUUGACAAAGAGUUUGACCCCAGUAUAUUAAAAUCAACACUUAAUAAAAGUUUCAUUGGAUUGGCAAAAUUGAAAAAACAGAGAGUCAUCAACCAGCAACAAUGGACUUUGUUAUUCCCUAAAAAUGGUGCACCAUCAUCCUCGGACUUUGACCUAACUUUAAUGAUAUGUCUGCUGCGAAAUUUUACGGAUAUAGAUAAAUCUGAUGUAUUUCCCAUCGAAACCGACACAAGUGAUGCUGCAAGUCUUUUGAGAUUGAAACACUACAGAAACAACAUAGUUCAUAGUAAGACAUUUACUUUGUCUGACGAAGACUUUAAACAAUACUGGGAACAUAUUACUUGUGCGGUUUGCAAACUUGGUGGUGAAAGUUACAAAGAAAUGUGUUUGCAAGUUAAAUGCGGUCAACCGGACGAAAAGGAAAAAAGAUAUGAAAAUGACUGCCAAAAGUGUACGAGAACCCGACAAAGAAGAAAAUUGGAUAUAACACACAGGGAGAUAUUUUCCUAUAACGGUUGUAAUUAAAGACAAUCACAGAAGCAUUUGAACAACCACUUUUAAGUAGUAUCAGGAUAACCUGAAAGAGGAAACACCGGUCUUUUUCGCUAUGUUGCUUCAAUCUUCUGAAAAACACAACGAUCUGCCAACAAUCUAGACAUUAUUCAAAAAUUUCCUUGCACUUAACAUGCUUAGUAUUAUCAUACAUAAACUGAAAAUCAAAAAACUAACACAAACAACCGAAACUGUAUACAAUCCUCCGGAAACAAAUAUGACGACGAAAGUGUUUAUUCAGGGAAGCAGACAUGGAGGGCAGAAUUGCAUUAUUAAAGGAUAAAUUAAGCGUAACAUACAACCAGGGUAGACUUGUACUGCAAUUAGUUGCCGGUUCAGCAGGUUUAAUUGAAAAGUUUUGUUUCGAGCAAAUUUCACUAUCAGACAGGCCUGGUCCGAGUAUACAUGCAGCCGUUAUUUAUGAAAAAACGUACAUGUAUAUAAGAGCGUUUAUUACAUAGGUAUUUUCAUUAUACUAAUGAUUAAAAGCGAUCCUAAUGCUUAAAAAUGAAUAACUGGAUAUCUCCUCAAAUUGCAUGCCGCAAACUGCAUGCAAUGUCAAUAUUCAAGAUAAAUCUGGAUAAACGGCGUUGCAUAUAGGAGCUGGAGGACGCAAAUCGUCGAUCGUAAAAAUGGAAAGACAGCGUUAUCUUACAUACGUGAAAAUGACAACAGACAAAUAGUCAAACUAUUUUUCUGGAAACAUUAGCAACAGAGGGAGUAAAAAGUGAAAUUAAAAAAAAAGUUCAAUCAAGAUUAAUAAGUGAUAAUAUCAGAGUAAUAAACACUUUUAAAUAUAUAUUUAUUCACAAUUAACAUUAUGUCAAGCUGCUUGGCAAAAGAGAUAUGGAAUAUACGUUAUUGAGAGAGCAACCAGAGGACAAACUAAAAAAUCAAUAGAUCUCAUGAUUAAUAAAAUUGCUUAUCAGGUUAAACCCAACAUUUUCUUCGGAUAAUGCCUGUACCAAGUCAGGAUAUUUGACAUGUGUUCUCCAUUUGUUCCGUUGGUCGAUAUACAAAUGUCGUCUAACGUUUGAUUUUGUCUGGUUUUAUGGACUUCUCCCAUUUUGAAUUUUCCUUGGAGAUUGUUAUUUUUCUUAAUACUUAUUUACCCAAGUGAGUCAUUAUUUUUCAUUUUAAAUCGUCAAUUGUCGUUAUAUAGUCCCCUUUUAAAACAUUAUAAACGUCCAAUCCUUAGACGAUAAUGAUUUCAGUGUGCUCAACUUAAAGUGGCAACUAUGUCUUACACAUUCAUUACGAGAACAAAUGAAUAAUUUUUUUAAGGGUUCUUUCGCUUGCUGAAGGCGUUUAACUCGCCUUCAAUGAGGCAUAGUCAUUAACCCAAUUCUGAUCUAGAUCCAACGGUUUGCUGUUCUUUCUUUUUCUUUUAGUAAGAUUGAACUGUUUCUGUAUUUCAUUAUUGACAAGCGGAUGUAAAGUUGAGCUCUUGACUAUACGUUGCAUUGCGCUUUAAUGGAAAAUUGCCCAAUCAAUAUGCCGAUUCAGAUUCUAAAUCAUUCUUGUAAUUGCUUACAUCAACGUCCUUUGCUAAUCUACAUCCAUUGUGUAUUUGGAUUAUAAACAUCAUAAUUAAUGGGAGGCGGCUUUCCUGAUAUGGAACUUGCGCCCUUUGCGUGUAUUUGGACUACAUUUUCAGAAGCUUAUAUCCAAACCGUUUGGAAGAAAAUGACGUUUUAUAUAUUGACUUUUUUAUAAAUUACGAUAUUAAUCACUUACAAUAUUGAUGACUUUGAUGUAUGAAAUAUGCUCUGAAUAACAGCGGCCGAUAUUAGAGUGUACAAUGAAUAAGCAGAUUG